GCAGGAAGCUGGGUGCGAAGUGGAAGGUGCAUCUUCAGAGGAAACACAUUUCUUUAGUGGUGGAUUACAUCUCUUCCAGGGACAGGGAGGAAGGAGAGAUUUCCCUGGCAUCCUGCCCCACAGCCAUGUAAAUUUUCCUACAUACAAAUGUUCAUUGCAGUCUUUUACAUUCCUCUGCUGACAGUGAAGAGGUCAUGCUAAAUCAAACUGAUGGAGAAACUGGACAUCAUCUUUACACAGGAUGCCCAGAUUAAUUCUGCCAAAACAAGAGAGUUUUGGCUCGAAACUAUUCCACAGCUACUACUGGAAAGAAGCAGGUGACCUUUGGAGGUAGU